rnacentral:rRNA from 1 species
UACGUAGGGUGCGAGCGUUGUCCGGAAUUACUGGGCGUAAAGAGCUCGUAGGUGGUUUGUCGCGUUGUUCGUGAAAACUCACAGCUUAACUGUGGGCGUGCGGGCGAUACGGGCAGACUUGAGUUCGGCAGGGGAGACUGGAAUUCCUGGUGUAGCGGUGAAAUGCGCAGAUAUCAGGAGGAACACCGGUGGCGAAGGCGGGUCUCUGGGCCGAUACUGACGCUGAGGAGCGAAAGCGUGGGGAGCGAACAGG